GCUCAGAACGAACGCUGGCGGCAGGCCUAACACAUGCAAGUCGAGCGAGCUCUUCGGAGCUAGCGGCGGACGGGUUAGUAACGCGUGGGAACGUGCCCUUCACUGCGGAAUAGCCACUGGAAACGGUGAGUAAUACCGCAUACGCCCUUCGGGGGAAAGAUUUAUCGGUGAAGGAUCGGCCCGCGUUAGAUUAGAUAGUUGGUGGGGUAACGGCCUACCAAGUCUACGAUCUAUAGCUGGUUUUAGAGGAUGAUCAGCAACACUGGGACUGAGACACGGCCCAGACUCCUACGGGAGGCAGCAGUGGGGAAUCUUGGACAAUGGGCGCAAGCCUGAUCCAGCCAUGCCGCGUGAGUGAUGAAGGCCUUAGGGUCGUAAAGCUCUUUCGCCAGAGAUGAUAAUGACAGUAUCUGGUAAAGAAACCCCGGCUAACUCCGUGCCAGCAGCCGCGGUAAUACGGAGGGGGUUAGCGUUGUUCGGAAUUACUGGGCGUAAAGCGCACGUAGGCGGAUCAGAAAGUUGGGGGUGAAAUCCCGGGGCUCAACCCCGGAACUGCCUCCAAAACUCCUGGUCUUGAGUUCGAGAGAGGUGAGUGGAAUUCCGAGUGUAGAGGUGAAAUUCGUAGAUAUUCGGAGGAACACCAGUGGCGAAGGCGGCUCACUGGCUCGAUACUGA
rnacentral:rRNA from 1 species